rnacentral:rRNA from 1 species
GAGUUUGAUCGUGGCUCAGAUUGAACGCUGGCGGCAGGCCUAACACAUGCAAGUCGAGCGGUAGAGAGAAGCUUGCUUCUCUUGAGAGCGGCGGACGGGUGAGUAAUGCCUAGGAAUCUGCCUGGUAGUGGGGGAUAACGUUCGGAAACGGACGCUAAUACCGCAUACGUCCUACGGGAGAAAGCAGGGGACCUUCGGGCCUUGCGCUAUCAGAUGAGCCUAGGUCGGAUUAGCUAGUUGGUGAGGUAAUGGCUCACCAAGGCGACGAUCCGUAACUGGUCUGAGAGGAUGAUCAGUCACACUGGAACUGAGACACGGUCCAGACUCCUACGGGAGGCAGCAGUGGGGAAUAUUGGACAAUGGGCGAAAGCCUGAUCCAGCCAUGCCGCGUGUGUGAAGAAGGUCUUCGGAUUGUAAAGCACUUUAAGUUGGGAGGAAGGGCAGUAAAUUAAUACUUUGCUGUUUUGACGUUACCGACAGAAUAAGCACCGGCUAACUCUGUGCCAGCAG